rnacentral:rRNA from 1 species
AUUGAACGCUGGCGGCAGGCCUAACACAUGCAAGUCGAACGGUAACAGGAAGCAGCUUGCUGCUUUGCUGACGAGUGGCGGACGGGUGAGUAAUGUCUGGGAAACUGCCUGAUGGAGGGGGAUAACUACUGGAAACGGUGGCUAAUACCGCAUAACGUCGCAAGACCAAAGAGGGGGACCUUCGGGCCUCUUGCCAUCAGAUGUGCCCAGAUGGGAUUAGCUUGUUGGUGAAGUAACGGCUCACCAAGGCGACGAUCCCUAGCUGGUCUGAGAGGAUGACCAGCCACACUGGAACUGAGACACGGUCCAGACUCCUACGGGAGGCAGCAGUGGGGAAUAUUGCACAAUGGGCGCAAGCCUGAUGCAGCCAUGCCGCGUGUAUGAAGAAGGCCUUCGGGUUGUAAAGUACUUUCAGCGGGGAGGAAGGUGUUGUGGUUAAUAACCGCAACAAUUGAUGUUACCCGCAGAAGAAGCACCGGCUAACUCCGUGCCAGCAGCCGCGGUAAUACGGAGGGUGCAAGCGUUAAUCGGAAUUACUGGGCGUAAAGCGCACGCAGGCGGUCUGUCAAGUCGGAUGUGAAAUCCCCGGGCUCAACCUGGGAACUGCAUUCGAAACUGGCAGGCUUGAG